AUACNUGCAGUCGACGCGUUGGCCCAAUUGAUUGAUGGUGCUUGCACCUGAUUGAUUUUGGUCGCCAACGAGUGGCGGACGGGUGAGUAACACGUAGGUAACCUGCCCAGAAGCGGGGGACAACAUUUGGAAACAGAUGCUAAUACCGCAUAACAACGUUGUUCGCAUGAACAACGCUUAAAAGAUGGCUUCUCGCUAUCACUUCUGGAUGGACCUGCGGUGCAUUAGCUUGUUGGUGGGGUAACGGCCUACCAAGGCGAUGAUGCAUAGCCGAGUUGAGAGACUGAUCGGCCACAAUGGGACUGAGACACGGCCCAUACUCCUACGGGAGGCAGCAGUAGGGAAUCUUCCACAAUGGGCGCAAGCCUGAUGGAGCAACACCGCGUGAGUGAAGAAGGGUUUCGGCUCGUAAAGCUCUGUUGUUAAAGAAGAACACGUAUGAGAGUAACUGUUCAUACGUUGACGGUAUUUAACCAGAAAGUCACGGCUAACUACGUGCCAGCANNCG
rnacentral:rRNA from 2 species